AUGAGGGCUCCUGUGCAGCUCCUCAGCUUCCUGCUGCUCUGGCUUCCGGGCUCCUGGUGUGAUAUCCAGAUGACCCAGCCUCCAUCCAUGUCUGCAUCUCUGGGAGAGAAAGUCACCAUCACCUGCAAGGCCAGUCAGAGCGUUAGCAGUUACUUAGCCUGGUAUCAGCAGAAACCAGGGAAAGCUCCCAUGCUCCUCAUCUAUGCAGCAACUGUUUUAGGACCAGAUGUCCCUCUCCGGUUCAGUGGCAGUGGAUCUGGGACAGAUUUCAUGCUCACCAUCAGCAGUCUGGAGCCUGAGGGUGCUGCCACUUAUUACUGUCAACAAAGUUGGAAUGACCCUCCCACAGUGAUACAGGCCAGAACAUAA